rnacentral:rRNA from 1 species
AUAUCACUCUGAGCGGUGGAUCACUCGGCUCGUGCGUCGAUGAAGAGCGCAGCCAGCUGCGUGAACUAAUGUGAAUUGCAGGACACAUUGAACAUCGACCUCUCGAACGCACAUUGCGGUCUCGGGCCAGUCCCGGGACCACGUCCGUCUGAGGGUCGGCUA